rnacentral:rRNA from 1 species
AUUGAACGCUGGCGGCAUGCCUUACACAUGCAAGUCGAACGGCAGCGGACCUUCGGGUGCCGGCGAGUGGCGAACGGGUGAGUAAUAUAUCGGAACGUACCUUUCAGUGGGGGGAUAACGUAGCGAAAGUUACGCUAAUACCGCAUAUUCUGUGAGCAGGAAAGCAGGGGAUCGCAAGACCUUGCGCUGAUUGAGCGGCCGAUAUCAGAUUAGCUAGUUGGUGAGGUAAAGGCUCACCAAGGCGACGAUCUGUAGCGGGUCUGAGAGGAUGAUCGCCACACUGGAACUGAGACACGGUCCAGACUCCUACGGGAGGCAGCAGUGGGAAUUUUGGACAAUGGGCGCAAGCCUGAUCCAGCCAUGCCGCGUGAGUGAAGAAGG